rnacentral:other from 1 species
UAUAUUAUUAAGUAAUUAUUGUUGUUCGGUGGAGAUACAAAGGUUACACUUUUGACUCGAUGAAAUUGAUCACGGUAGUAAUAAUCAGUAUGACUCAGUCAUACGCAGGAGGCAACACACAUGGAACAAGGUACAGUAAAAUGGUUUAACGCAGAAAAAGGUUUUGGCUUCAUCGAACGUGAAAACGGCGACGACGUUUUCGUUCACUUCUCAGCUAUUCAAACAGACGGUUUCAAAUCACUUGACGAAGGUCAAGAAGUUUCGUUUGAAGUUGAAGAAGGCCAACGCGGACCACAAGCAACUAACGUUACUAAACUUUAAUUUUCCAAGACUCUGCUGUUGCAGGGUCUUUUUUG